rnacentral:rRNA from 1 species
UACGUAGGGCGCAAGCGUUGUCCGGAAUUAUUGGGCGUAAAGAGCUCGUAGGCGGUUUGUCGCGUCUGCUGUGAAAACCUAAGGCUCAACCUUGGGCUUGCAGUGGGUACGGGCAGACUAGAGUGCGGUAGGGGUGACUGGAAUUCCUGGUGUAGCGGUGGAAUGCGCAGAUAUCAGGAGGAACACCGAUGGCGAAGGCAGGUC